rnacentral:rRNA from 1 species
GACGAACGCUGGCGGCGUGCCUAAUACAUGCAAGUCGAACGAGUGGCGGACGGGUGAGUAAUGUCUGGGAAACUGCCCGAUGGAGGGGGAUAACUACUGGAAACGGUAGCUAAUACCGCAUACUAUCAGAUGAGCAUAGGUCGGAUUAGCUAGUUGGUGGGGGAAAGGCCUACCAAGGCGACGAUCCGUAACUGGUCUGAGAGGAUGAUCAGUAACACUGGAACUGAGACACGGUCCAGACUCCUACGGGAGGCAGAAGUGGGGAAUAUUGGACAAUGGGCGAAAGCCUGAUCCAGCCAUGCCGCGUGUGUGAAGAAGGUCUUCGGGUUGUAAAGUACUUUCAGCGAGGAGGCGUUACUCGCAGAAGAAGCACCGGCUAACUCCGUGCCAGCAGCCGCGGUAAUUC